rnacentral:rRNA from 1 species
UACGUAGGGGGCAAGCGUUGUCCGGAAUCAUUGGGCGUAAAGAGCGCGUAGGCGGCCCUGUAAGUCCGCUGUGAAAGUCAAGGGCUCAACCCUUGAAUGCCGGUGGAUACUGCAGGGCUAGAGUCCGGAAGAGGCGAGUGGAAUUCCUGGUGUAGCGGUGAAAUGCGCAGAUAUCAGGAAGAACACCCGUGGCGAAGGCGGCUCUCUGGGACGGUACUGACGCUGAGACGCGAAAGCGUGGGGAGCAAACAGG